AUAAUUCAAGCUUUGAAGAAAUUGAAGAGCAUCCGUCAGAAAAAAACCAAUCAAUCAAAGACCACUAAAAGCAAUAUGGUAAUAUAAGCAAAUAGAAAACAUUGAUGGAUUCCAGCUUGAACAUCAAUUGAUUUCGAGAGAUGCAAACAGAGUAAAGGAAGAUUGUGCAAAUAGGAACUUCAAACACACGAACUGCUCUCACUCGUAUUGCCCUUUGCUGGUGUUCCGGCUUGAUGUUCCUGACAGCAAUGAACAUGGAAGGCAUGUUGAAACACCAAAUAUUGCUUUAGAAAGGCCUGUAAAGUGUGAUUACUUUCGGAAGUGUCCGACCAUGAAGAAGACCGGUAUUUAUACAUACUGAAGAUUCAAAAA